GGAAGGAUCAUUACUGAAUUUGGAACUUUUGUUCCUAUUUCAUUUCAAACACCUGUGAACUUUUUUAAUAUUUGCUUUGGACUACAUUAUUUAGGUAGUGUAGUCCAAAGAAUAAACUAAAAACUCUUAUUUUUAAACAUAUUGUCUGAAAAUGAUUAUUAAAUAAAUCAAAACUUUCAACAACGGAUCUCUUGGUUCUCGCAUCGAUGAAGAACGCAGCGAAAUGCGAUACGUAAUGUGAAUUGCAGAAUUGUGAAUCAUCGAAUCUUUGAACGCACAUUGCGCCUUUUGGUAUUCCAGAAGGCAUACUUGUUUGAGCGUCAUUUCACUCUUAAAACAAUUAUUUUGUUUUAGUCUUGAGUUUAUUUCUCAUUACGAGAAUAACUUGAAAUGAAUUGGCACAAGCGAAUCAUAUUGGCUUAAACAACGUAAUAGGUUUUACCAACUCGUUGAUCUUGACAAUUUAAUUCAAGCUUUGGCAAUACAACCAAAACUUUUAAAAGUUUGACCUCAAAUCAAGCAAGAUUACCCGCUGAACUUAAGCAUAUCAAUAAGCGGAGGAAAAGAAACCAACAGGGAUUGCCUCAGUAACGGCGAGUGAAGCGGCAAAAGCUCAAAUUUGAAAUCUGGUACCUUCGGUAUCCGAGUUGUAAUUUGAAGAUGGUAACUUUGGAUUUGGUUCUUGUGUAAGUUCCUUGGAAUAGGGCUUCAUGGAGGGUGAGAAUCCCGUGUCGCGAGAAUACCAUUUCUAUGUAAAGUGCUAUCGAAGAGUCGAGUUGUUUGGGAUUGCAGCUCUAAGUGGGUGGUAAAUUCCAUCUAAAGCUAAAUAUUGGCGAGAGACCGAUAGCGAACAAGUACAGUGAUGGAAAGAUGAAAAGAACUUUGAAAAGAGAGUGAAAAAGUACGUGAAAUUGUUGAAAGGGAACGGUUUAAAAUCAGACUUGGUAGUCAAUGAUCAAUUUUCUCUUGGGAAGAUGCACUCGUUGAUUACUGGGCCAGCAUCGAUUUGGGUGGUGAGAUAAAAGAUAGUUGAAUGUGGCUCUUUUAGAGUGUUAUAGCUUCUAUCAUAAUAUCAUCAAUCUGGAUCGAGGACUGCUAUUACAGGAUGCUGGCGUAAUGGUUUUAAACUACCCGUCUUGAAACACGGACCAAGGAGUCUAACGUCUAUGCGAGUGUUUGGGUGUAAAACCCGUACGCGAAAUGAAAGUGAAUGAAGAUAAGGGCCUUUACGGGUGCAUUAUCGACCGAUCCUGAUGUUUUCGGAUGGAUUUGAGUAAGAGCAUAGCUGUUGGGACCCGAAAGAUGGUGAACUAUGCCUGAAUAGGGUGAAGCCAGAGGAAACUCUGGUGGAGGCUCGUAGCGGUUCUGACGUGCAAAUCGAUCGUCAAAUUUGGGUAUAGGGGCGAAAGACUAAUCGAACCAUCUAGUAGCUGGUUCCUGC
rnacentral:misc_RNA from 1 species